rnacentral:rRNA from 1 species
AACAGGAUUAGAUACCCUGGUAGUCCACGCCGUAAACGAUGAGUGCUAGUUGUUGGGAUCUUAGAUCUCAGUGACGUCGCAAAUGCUUUAAGCACUCCGCCUGGGGAGUACGGCCGCAAGGUUAAAACUCAAAGAAAUUGACGGGGACCCGCACAAGCGGUGGAGCAUGUGGUUUAAUUCGAGGCAACGCGAAGAACCUUACCAGGCCUUGACAUGUCCAGUUUGAUCGCCAGAGAUAGCUUUCUUCACCUCGGGUGGCUGGAACACAGGUGCUGCAUGGCUGUCGUCAGCUCGUGUCGUGAGAUGUUGGGUUAAGUCCCGCAACGAGCGCAACCCUCGUCCUUAGUUGCCAUCAUUCAGUUGGGAACUCUAAGGAAACUGCCCGUGAUAAGCGGGAGGAAGGUGGGGACGACGUCAAGUCAUCAUAGCCCUUACGGCCUGGGCUACACACGUGCUACAAUGGCUGCUACAAUGGGCAGCGAACCCGCAAGGGGGAGCGAAUCUCAAAAAGCAGUCUCAGUUCGGAUUGUCCUCUGCAACUCGAGGGCAUGAAGUUGGAAUCGCUAGUAAUCGUAGAUCAGCGUGCUACGGUGAAUACGUUCCCGGGUCUUGUACACACCGCCCGUCACACCAUGGGAAUUGGUUCUACCUUAAGCAGAUGAGCUAACCGCAAGGAAGCAGUCUACCACGGUAGGGUCAGUAACUGGGGUGAAGUCGUAACAAGGUAACC